GUAUUAGGCAAAUCCGGUACUCGUUAAGGCUGAGCUGUGAUGGGGAGAAGACAUUGUGUCUUCGAGUCGUUGAUUUCACACUGCCGAGAAAAGCCUCUAGAUAGAAAAUAGGUGCCCGUACCGCAAACCGACAUAGGUAGUCAAGAUGAGAAUUCUAAGGUGAGCGAGCGAACUCUCGUUAAGGAACUCGGCAAAAUGACCCCGUAACUUCGGGAGAAGGGGUGCUCUUUAGGGUUAACGCCCAGAAGAGCCGCAGUGAAUAGGCCCAAGCGACUGUUUAUCAAAAACACAGGUCUCUGCUAAACCGUAAGGUGAUGUAUAGGGGCUGACGCCUGCCCGGUGCUGGAAGGUUAAGAGGAGUGGUUAGCUUCUGCGAAGCUACGAAUCGAAGUCCUAGUAAACGGUGGCCGUAACUAUAACGGUCCUAAGGU
rnacentral:rRNA from 1 species